CAAAUCUGCUAUUGACGUCAUUUUGACCAAAAAAUCUGCGAAACCUUGUUAAGGAUACUUGAAACCCUUAGCUGACUAAACGUUGAGCCCGCGAUAGUUGCCGCUGACUGAAACAAUAUGGCGUCCUCCGGUGACAACGCAAGAGUGAAGGGUAUGACAAUCGUAAAGCCAGUCAUAUUUGGAAAUGUGUCGCACUACUUUG